rnacentral:rRNA from 1 species
GACGAACGCUGGCGGCGUGCUUAACACAUGCAAGUCGAACGGAAAGGCCCUGCUUUUGUGGGGUGCUCGAGUGGCGAACGGGUGAGUAACACGUGAGUAACCUGCCCUUGACUUUGGGAUAACUUCAGGAAACUGGGGCUAAUACCGGAUAGGAGCUCCUGCUGCAUGGUGGGGGUUGGAAAGUUUCGGCGGUUGGGGAUGGACUCGCGGCUUAUCAGCUUGUUGGUGGGGUAGUGGCUUACCAAGGCUUUGACGGGUAGCCGGCCUGAGAGGGUGACCGGCCACAUUGGGACUGAGAUACGGCCCAGACUCCUACGGGAGGCAGCAGUGGGGAAUAUUGCACAAUGGGCGGAAGCCUGAUGCAACAACGCCGCGUGCGGGAUGACGGCCUUCGGGUUGUAAACCGCUUUCGCCUGUAACGAAGCGUGAGUGACGGUAAUGGGUAAAGAAGCACCGGCUAACUACGUG